AGCUCCAAUAGCGUAUAUUAAAGUUGUUGCAGUUAAAAAGCUCGUAGUUGGAUUUCUGGGGUAUGAAUGGUGGUCCGCCGCAAGGUGAGCACUGCUGUUUUGCCUCUUCUUCUCGAGGACGGGGGGUGCUCUUGAUUGAGUGCUUUCUCGGGUUCGGGACCUUUACUUUGAAAAAAUUAGAGUGUUCAAAGCAGGCGAAUGCUUGAAUACAUUAGCAUGGAAUAAUGGAAUAGGACUUUGGUUCUAUUUUGUUGGUUUCUAGGACCGAAGUAAUGAUUAAUAGGGAUAGUUGGGGGCAUUAGUAUUUAAUUGUCAGAGGUGAAAUUCUUGGAUUUAUGAAAGACUAACUUCUGCGAAAGCAUUUGCCAAGGAUGUUUUCAUUAAUCAAGAACGAAAGUAC
rnacentral:rRNA from 1 species